rnacentral:tRNA from 1 species
GCGGGCGUAGCUCAAUGGUAGAGCGUCAGCUUCCCAAGCUGGAUACGCGGGUUCGAUUCCCGUCGCCCGCUCCAUAG